rnacentral:rRNA from 1 species
ACGCUGGCGGCAGGCCUAACACAUGCAAGUCGGACGGUAGCACAGAGAGCUUGCUCUCGGGUGACGAGUGGCGGACGGGUGAGUAAUGUCUGGGAAACUGCCCGAUGGAGGGGGAUAACUACUGGAAACGGUAGCUAAUACCGCAUAACGUCGCAAGACCAAAGUGGGGGACCUUCGGGCCUCACACCAUCGGAUGUGCCCAGAUGGGAUUAGCUAGUAGGUGGGGUAAUGGCUCACCUAGGCGACGAUCCCUAGCUGGUCUGAGAGGAUGACCAGCCACACUGGAACUGAGACACGGUCCAGACUCCUACGGGAGGCAGCAGUGGGGAAUAUUGCACAAUGGGCGCAAGCCUGAUGCAGCCAUGCCGCGUGUAUGAAGAAGGCCCUCGGGUUGUAAAGUACUUUCAGCGGGGAGGAAGGCGGUGAGGUUAAUAACCUUACCGAUUGACGUUACCCGCAGAAGAAGCACCGGCUAACUCCGUGCCAGCAGCCGCGGUAAUACGGAGGGUGCAAGCGUUAAUCGGAAUUACUGGGCGUAAAGCGCACGCAGGCGGUCUGUCAAGUCGGAUGUGAAAUCCCCGGGCUUAACCUGGGAACUGCAUUCGAAACUGGCAGGCUAGAGUCUUGUAGAGGGGGGUAGAAUUCCAGGUGUAGCGGUGAAAUGCGUAGAGAUCUGGAGGAAUACCGGUGGCGAAGGCGGCCCCCUGGACAAAGGCUGACGCUCAGGUGCGAAAGCGUGGGGAGCAAAC